rnacentral:lncRNA from 1 species
AAACCCAAUUGAAUUAUUAUCAACCCUUGAAUUUAUGUAACGACCCAGCCCACUAGCAACAAUAACUCGUUGGGCCCAAACCAACAGCCCAAAAUGCUUAAGCCCAGUUAUUAUUACUAGUGUCUAGGUCUAUUAUAAACCCAAUGACAAUCCCUUUCCCAUCCGAUGUGGGACUAAUGGGGUGUCACAGACUCCCCCCGUUAAGGCCCUGACGUCCUCGUCAGUCCAAUCACACACACAGCCCAAGAUCACUAGGCGAUGUGAGACUCGUCUCGCUAGCCCGUCAUCCAGACCCUGGCUUAGCCGAGACUCGCCACACAUGUCCAGCUGGUGAACCGGCUCUGAUACCAAAUGUAACGACCCAGCCCACUAGCAACAAUAACUCGUUGGGCCCAAACCAACAGCCCAAAAUGCUUAAGCCCAGUUAUUAUUACUAGUGUCUAGGUCUAUUAUAAACCCAAUGACAAUCCCUUUCCCAUCCGAUGUGGGACUAAUGGGGUGUCACAAUUUAGGAGUGUUAGACUUAUGUCCU